AUGGCUCCAAAAAGGAGCCGUUCUCUUGGUGGCAGCAGUUGGAUUCAGAGCUUGGGCAUCCUGAUCAUCAGGACAGACAUUUACAGGAUAUGUAUAGAAUUACUGCCCCAAAUAGAGGGCAAAGCACUAGACAGAAGGGUGAGAGCCAAAGGGAAUUUGGAAUCUGUAUUUCAUCAGAAUGCACUCAAAGCAAAAACAUUAGGGCAACGUGUGGAAUGUGCUGCUCUGUAUGUGAAGCCAGAUGCUCAUGUUCAUAAAAAACAUUUUAAUAGUGUGACGGAAGAUACAGCUUCGAGACAAAGACACGAGCUUGGGCAGAGUCAUUCAUUCAUUCAUUUUUCACCCCAAUCAUCUUGAUGCAGAGAGGCUUCAGAAACACAAGUGACUCUGUGUUCAGACCAAGUACUUGGCCUCGAGAAGAUGAAUGAUCAGACCAACUCACCAUAUGAUUAUAAGGGUCAGGUAGUUUAAAAAGAAAUUACAAUCUGAAUUGAACCAUGGAUGAACAGUGUUUCCAUUGAGCUUCAAAUCCCAGCUAAUAAGCAUAACCUUGUAAAGAGAGGUUACUGUUUGGGAAACUGCAUGUUCUUGCAGGAGGGCAAAGCUUUUGCAAUAUAAAUAGUUGUAAGGGUACUAGCUUUCAUCUUUAAUACCUUAACCCUCUGUGUUUAGAGUUUUUGUAUCCAGGGCUGAAUUGAGAAUUUUAGAAACCUUGAACACUGAAGAGAUUGUAAUAACCCCAUGUGUAAUGUAUAAAAUCUUCAAAAGAAAAUUUACUUUUUAAAAAUGUUAUAAAACUCAUGAAUACUGA
rnacentral:lncRNA from 1 species